GUUGUGGCUCAGAGGUAGAGCACUUGCCUAGCACAUGCAAGGCCCUGGGUUUGAUCCUCAGCACACA
rnacentral:tRNA from 1 species